GAGGGUAUAGCUCAGAGGUAGAGUGUGUGCUUAGCAUGCAUGAGGUCCUGGGUUCAAUCCUCAGUACCUCUA
rnacentral:tRNA from 1 species